ensembl:lncRNA
UGCCCCUGCGGCGCGCUGCAUUCUGGGCUGGCCGCUCGGCCUCGCCGGCUGGUUGACCGCGGCGCACGCGCGCUGCGUCGUUCCGCGUCUGCGCCCCCGCGGCGGUAGCGCGGGCGUGAGGUGGCCGUGCGGCUGGAGAGGACUCCGCAGGGUCGCCUGGCACCUCCCUCCCGGGCCUCUGGGGACGGGCCCCGCCGGGGAACGGGGGGCGUCGGCGGCCGGGCCUAUCCGGCUGAGCCCCCUGCUCGGGCUCGGCCCAGUCCGGGCUGUCGCACGCCACACCAAGAACCCCGGCUUCAGGGCGGCGUCCCUGGUACGCGGGUCCUCCCCGCUGGCCGCUCAGGCGCUUGCUCCCGGGCGGCAGAGACUGCGCACCCCCGACCUUUGUGCCCCGCCUCCCCCUCCCCACAGCUGGUCGUCGGGGGGUCGAUGAUGAGAGGUCAUCCCAGGGCACCACUUGGCGAGGUCCUGCACCUGCAGCAGUGUGCGCCUGUUCUCCGCGGUGCGGGAGUGUGGAACUCCUGAUCAAAGCCGGCGCCCCAGUCUUCAGCAGCUGCUGGAAUGGCAGUCUCCCCAGGAGGCUCCCCCAACACUCAGCCCUUACUGUCAAGAGGAAAUAGCUUGCCAGAGCUGCCAGGGUUCCACCUGGCCUGAGACCGGGCGGAGCAGGAGGCAGUGGCCAGCCAAUGGGCACGAGAGUCAGUCAGCAGGACUUCAAACAGCAAUGCUGCUCCCCUGCACUUGGGAUGGCACCCUUGGCCCAGCCGGGUGGAGUGGAAAGGAGAAAACCAAAACGAGGGUCGUCACAGAGGGGUGGGGGCGCCGAGCCUGGGGCCUCCGGGCACCAUCUCUGACGCUGUCUGCAAACUGGGCAGGGUACAGUGUUAGAGAAACUUGUUUCUCAACCAUCAGUAGCUUUACUGGGUUUCCUGAUUGCUAUAGAAAGAAUGUAUGCUCCCUGUAGCCAUUUCAAGUCUAUAAAAACAAGUACAAACUAACAGAAAUCUGGCGUCCUGGUGGCGGCUGGGAACACCCUUAAUGCCACAUGAAGUCUGCCUUCCUGCCCCGCCUCUCUUCAGGCUACAGUCAGAAUGCAGAAGCUGGUGCAGUGAGUUUAAAAUGAGCUCUUUCUGCCUUUUGCUUUUUUCUCUUUGGGAGGCUCCCUUUUCCACCCCACACACUGUACAUAAACUUUCAUAGUCGCUGCACAUUUACACAAGUGUCAUUUGUGUCAAUUUACACCUUUUUACGGAGAAGGCAACGGCACUCCACUCCAGUGCUCUUGCCUGGAAAAUCCCAUGGACGGAGGAGCCUGGUGGGCUGCAGUCCAUGGGGUCGCUGAGGGUCGGACACGACUGAGCGACUUCACUUUGACUUUUCACUUGCAUGCCUUGGAGAAGGCAAUGGCACCCCACUCCAGUGUUCUUGCCUGGAGAAUCCCAGGGACGGGGGAGCCUGGUGGCCUGCAGUCUAUGGGGUCGCACAGAGUCGGACACGACUGAAGCGAUUUAGCAGCAGCAGCACACCUUUUUACUCAAGUGACAGUUGAGAGAAAACAAGGUGGGAUGUCCGGGAAGCACACCUGCUCCACUGGGGGAGGCUAGAGGAUCAGGUUAGGAAUCGGGUUAAGGAGUCAGAAUACCGGAAGAGGACUGUCAGGACUGUGUGCUGUUCGGCCACGCCCCAGGUGAAGGCGGGCAGAACUGGAUUGGACCAGGUUGCGGUUUUGCCCAGAGGUGUGAUGAAGGGAGAGGGCGGAGUCACGGUGUGUGCAAGACAGG